AUGCUUCAGCAGCACAUAUACUGAAAUUGGAAUGAUACAGAGAUAAUUAGCAAGGCCCCGUGCAAGGAUAACACACAAAUUUGUGAGGCAUUUCAUAUUUAA